rnacentral:rRNA from 1 species
UUGCAGUUAAAAAGCUCGUAGUUGGAUUUCGGAACCGGCCGAUUGGUCCGUCCUCUGGAUCGUGUACUGAUCGGUCUGUUCUUCUUCGCGAAGACCGCGUGUGCUCUUAACUGAGUGGGCGUGGGAUUCGCGACGUUUACUUUGAAAAAAUUAGAGUGUUCAAAGCAGGCAGUCGCUUGAAUAUCUCAGCAUGGAAUAAUAGAAUAGGUCUUUGGUCUUAUUUUGUUGGUUUCCGAGACCGAAGUAAUGAUUAAUAGGGACAGUUGGGGGCAUUCGUAUUUCAUUGUCAGAGGUGAAAUUCUUGGAUUUAUGAAAGACGAACUUCUGCGAAAGCAUUUGCCAAGGAUGUUUUCAUUAAUCAAGAACGAUAGUUGGAGGCUCGAAGACGAUCAGAUACCGUCCUAGUUCCAACCAUAAACGAUGCCGUCUGCGGAUCGGAGGUCGCUCAUGUAAGGCUCCUUCGGCACGCUAUGAGAAAUCAAAGACUUCGGGUUCCGGGGGGAGUAUGUUCGCAAGAAUGAAACUUAAAGGAAUUGACGGAAGGGCACCACCAGGAGUGGAACCUGCGGUUUAAUUUGACUCAACACGGGGAAAACUCACCCA